AAAAAUGUAAAGCAUAUACUCGUAGUCUCCUUAUACGACUACGAGCAAGAAAACAAAAAUAAUACAGGAGUACUAGACCACUUGUCUAAGAAGAAGUUAAACUGAAAUUCAUUGUACAAGAAAAGGCAAAUAUUUGCCAAAUAUUUGUAUUAUAUAGUGGAACUAGGCCACAAUGAAAUGGCAUUAUACCGAGAAUUAAAAAAAAAAAAAAAUUGAAUUUGAUGAAAUGGCUUACUUUAAAGUUUCAUUAGAAAAAACAUAUAAUUGCAGGGUCUAUUGUUUUUCCUACCAAAUUAAAACCCACGUGUCUUCCAUUGAUUAGUUGCUAAUUUCAGAGAGAAAUAAUUAAUGUAGGUCCAUCAAAUUGCAUGUAUGUCUUAAUAUCUUUAUUAUCUGCUUUCCCUCCUAUGCUUUUUGCUACGUGCAUUUCGC
rnacentral:lncRNA from 1 species